rnacentral:rRNA from 1 species
AUUGAACGCUGGCGGAAUGCUUUACACAUGCAAGUCGAGCGGCAGCGCGGGGCAACCUGGCGGCGAGCGGCGAACGGGUGAGUAAUACAUCGGAACGUACCCAGUUGUGGGGGAUAGCCCGGCGAAAGCCGGAUUAAUACCGCAUACGACCUGAGGGUGAAAGGGGGGGAUCGCAAGACCUCUCGCAGUUGGAGCGGCCGAUGGCGGAUUAGCUAGUUGGUAGGGUAAAGCCAACCAAGGCGACGAUCCGUAGCGGGUCUGAGAGGACGACCCGCCACAAUGGACAUGAGACACGGUCCAGACUCCUACGGGAGGCAGCAGUGGGGAAUGUUGGACAAUGGGGGCAACCCUGAUCCAGCCAUUCCGCGUGAGUGAAGAAGGCCUUCGGGUUGUAAAGCUCUGACAGAGGGAAAGAAAUGCAGGGGAGCUAAUAUCUCCUUUGCUUGACGGUACCCUCAAAGGAAGCACCGGCUAACUCCGUGCCAGCCGCCGCCGUAAUAC